GCCAGGGACCAGCAGCACUGCUCUGUGCUCUGGGGACGUGCCAUGCUGUCACCACGCUCAGGUGUGCAGAGCCAGCUGCCAUCCAUGCUGUCAUAUCAGAAAAAAUUCAGAAUUAAAGCCACAUCAAGCCCAAGCUCAGAGAGAGUAAUUUGUGGUGUCCACAUUGAGCCCCCAGUUUAUGGCAUUAUUGCUCAGGGACUGUAAACAGGGCUUAGAUAAAUAUCGUUCAAAUCAUGGAGUCUGAUUCGUGAGUCAGGACCAUGGCAGCCCUCCAAAACCUCCUGCCCAUGGAGUGUGUUUGUGUGAGAGGGAGAGAGAGUUUCACUGCAUGAAGAGUAAGAAACUGGAAGCCAAGUGAAUUAAAUACAAAGCAGAUAAUUAUGUGUAAUUCAUUUACUGACUAAUGAUUGCACCUUGGUAUGGAGGUUCAUGAAUUCAUUUGACUCUGCAAGGUUCUCAAGAACAAUCUCCCUGCUACAAGAUAAGAGCUGGCUGACUUGUUAACAGACCAGUGUUUACAUUAGUGUUAUUGUAAGAUUCUGCCUUUUUGGCUCAUUUCACAUUUUACCUCACGGCCAUUCACUUUUCCUGGGUCCAUCUGGUGUCUCUGACAGUUUCAAUAGCUCAGUGCUGGUCAAGGCUGGCUGUCACUGCAGACUGAAGGCAUCAUCUGCUCCUGGGAGCAAUCACACACAGCUCUUCUCUCCUGUCUGCUGCAGCCAAACCUUGCCAUGGAGACUGUGACUUUGGCAGGGGAUCAGCAGGUCACAGCCCCCUUUCCCCAGUGCUGGUGUCCCUGGCACUCUUCCUGGUGUCACCCACUGGCCACUGCAGCCUGA
rnacentral:lncRNA from 1 species